CCCCUCUCAGGAUGUCACCUGAAGAGUUUCCAGUACUCUACCAGUCUUGAUUAAGGGAGGGAGAGUCAAGCAGAGGCAUACCUGGUCCAUUCCUAGCUUGGGAAGUGGCUAGGGAAUGGAAGACAAUCUGUUACAAGU